GGCAUGGCCAAUCGGGUGGGAGGGUUUGAACCCUUCUUUCACGGGGAUUUAGAGCUCUUCCCAUGUUU
rnacentral:tRNA from 1 species